GGAAAGAUGAAAAGAACUUUGAAAAGAGAGUUAAACAGUACGUGAAAUUGUUGAAAGGGAAACGAUUGAAGUCAGUCAUACCAACGGGAAAUCAACCUUUUGAGCUUUGUCUCGUGGGUUCGGAGAGUUUAAACGCCUUCGGGUUCGCGAGAUUGGGAUCUUCUGGUGUACUUUCUCGUACGGUUAGUCAACAUCGGUUUUGAAUGUCAUAAAAUGACUGGAGGAAUGUAGCUUCGAUCUCGUAUCGAAGUGUUAUAGCCUUUGGUAGAUGUGAUGUUUGAGACCGAGGAUUGCAACGGAUACCCUUCAUGGGCUAUUCGUCUGAUCUCUGAUACGUUGCCUUGACGUUGAAAGCUUGCUUAUGAUGUUAGGGUAUUACGGUCAAAAGGUUAGAACGGAUUAAAUUCGUUAAGGAUGUUGACGUAAUGACUUUAAACGACCCGUCUUGAAACACGGACCA
rnacentral:rRNA from 1 species